ensembl:lncRNA
CCUCGCAGUAAGGAUGGCGCCCGGCGGCCUAGAGGACAGCAGGGUGAGGGAGAAGGCGCGGCGGGUUCUGCCUGUCCUGCCUGGGCUGCGGCAAUUUACUAGGGUGGCGGUCCGGGGACUAAAAUCUUCCUAGGUACCCAGAUCCGGACAGGAAGGCGCUGGGGACCAAGGAGCGCAGAGAAUCCGGAUAGAGGGAAACUCACGUGGCCCUGUGCCGUCCACUCCCGGAUGCACUUCCGGGUCUGCAGGCUCCUGAGCGGCCCGCGGAGAAGCCGAGCCUGAGCCUGGAAACGCGGGAGGUGGGCGGGCCUAAGUGGGAGGGCCUAUAGCAGAUCUCUGCGCGUGCGCACUGGUGUUCCCGCUGUGGUCCCGCGGGUUUGCAGAAAGUCCUGGACCCAUGGAAGCGCUUUUCGCGAAAGUGAGGAGUUUAUAUUCCACAUCUGGGAACGUGCAGGGCGAGGGAGGCAGAGACUGACGUGUGGAGAACGAUGGUAAAACAUUUUGGACAGGUAGGGCGGAUGGACUAAGAGACACUGGGAGGUGGAAUUGGAGACACGGAAAUCAGAGACACCGAGUGCUGGGAUAGAAGAGGGACUAGGUGACCUGGAGAGCAGUGGCCAAACAGGGAGGGGACUUACUGGGCUGAGCGGAUCAGAAUUCAAGCAAGGUUAGUGAGAACCUUGUCUUCAGGCUUUUGUCUAAGUGCCCCUCGCCAGAGCCUCAUGUGCUCACAGACGUGGCUUUUGAAAGGAGUUUGGGUCAGGGGGCUGCUGUAGCUAAACGUGUUGUUAGGAGGUGGGGCCAGGUGGGGCCUGGUCGGAAGAGGAGGAUCACUAGACCUUGCCUCUCUAACCCUAUCUAACCUUCCCUCCGAGCUACCCCUUCUCUCUCUGCUUCCCCUCCACGAAGCCCCUCUGCCCUGCUAUUUCUUUGGAGCCAGCAAACCAUGGACCGAAACUAUUCUGCAGUAUGCAAGACACAAGUUUCACCUUGGAUGGAGACUCAUUUAUCCUUCAUAUAAACUCUAUGGAGUACACCGUGAGAUUUGAUUAUGUAAUUUACCACAGCAAUACAUUUGUGAGUUCUUUAAAGUAGGAAAUUUUUGGUGAAUCCUGAGGACACAUCUUUUAAGAAUCAUAUUUUGGGGUCCUGAGUCACGCGGAAGACCCCAAAUCACCCCACUGCACACAGGCAGGUCUGCCCACACCCUGCCGAGGUCCCCAGUCACGCGGAACACAUGCCAAAUCAGCCCGCUGCAGACAGGCAGGUCUGUGCAUGCCCUACUGAGGUCCUGAGUCACGUGGAAGACACUGAAUCACCCCACUGCAGACAGGGAGCCACCUGAUUCCACAUUACCAAGGCGCAGAGGACACCAGACCACCAGACCAAGGUACUGAGUCCCACUGUUCCCGGCCCAGAGGUAGGGGCUUCUGAGCUGUCGUCCCACUGCUCCUGGUCCAGAGGAAGGGGCUUCCCAGUCACCAUCCCUCCUGCUGCUCCCAGCCCACAGGAAAGGGCUUUUGGGCCACCUUCUGUCCCACUGCUCCUGGCCCAGAGGAAGGGGCUUCCAGGCCACCAUCCCUCCCACUGCUCCAUGCCCAGAGGGAGGGGCUUCUGAGCCACCAUCCCACUGCUCCUGGUCCAGAGGAAGGGGUUUCCUGGCCACCAUCCCUCUGGCUGCUCCCAGCCCACAGGAAAGGGCUUUUGGGUCACCAUCCCUACCGCUCCUCCCAGCCCCUGUCCCACCUCACCCAGCUCAGAGGAGGUAAUCCGUGCAGGCGCUAACAGCCCCCGCCCCAGUCAAAAUGAGAAAACACAUAAAUAAGUCUCAAAACCAGACUUCCAGAUCACCUACAGCAACCCCAAAGGGAAAUGAGAUGGAACACUCUGAUACUCAACCACCUGGACCCACUGAACUGGCAACAAAAGAGGAUCUGGAAAAAAAUGAAAUCAGAAAUAAUUUCUAAGAUAACAGGAGAAAUUGUGCCCUUAGUGCAAGACAUGAUUAAUAAAUCUAGAGAGAAGCUGAGGAACAUGAUGGAAUCCCAACAUAAGAAACAAAUGGAAUCCAUAAAACAGAUGCAAAUAGAUUUCCAGGACAUGAAAAACUCCACUGAAAGUCUACACAGCAGAAUGAGCCAAUGUGAGGACAGAAUUUCAGAUACAGAAGAUAACAUUGCAAUUGGUGACCAGGAAAAGAAAAAUUGCUUCAGAAUUAUAAGGGAACAUGAGAAAUCAAUCCAGCAGCUGCUAGAUGAUGCAAAAAAGAAUAACAUAAGACUGAUUGGGCUCAAUGAAGAAACAGGAGAGAGUGCAGAUGACAUAAAAAAAUCUCUUCACAGAAAUAAUGGCAGAAAACUUCCCAAUCAGGGGAAAAGAGCUUGACAUACAGAUAAGUGAGGCAUAUAGGACUCCACAUAGCCUUGAUCAAAAAAAAUCUACACAUAGGCAUAUAAUUGUUAAGAUUCCAGAAACACAACAGAAGAACAAAGUUCUCCAAGCAGUCAGAGAAAAGAAACAAAUCACAUACAAAGGAAAGCCCAUCAGAAUCACAGCAGACUUCUCAACACAAA